UACGGGGGAUGCAAGCGUUAUCCGGAUUUAUUGGGUUUAAAGGGUGCGUAGGCUGUGAGGUAAGUCAGCGGUGAAAUGCCCCCGCUCAACGGGGUGAAGUGCCAUUGAUACUGCCUUGCUGGAAUGCGGAUGCCGUGGGAGGAAUGUGUGGUGUAGCGGUGAAAUGCAUAGAUAUCACACAGAACACCGAUUGCGAAGGCAUCUCACGAAUCCGCUAUUGACGCUGAUGCACGAAAGCGUGGGUAUCAAGCAGG
rnacentral:rRNA from 1 species